rnacentral:misc_RNA from 1 species
UUUUCAUCCUGAUCACAACAAACUAGAGAGUAAAUCACCAUUUCAUCUAGCCAUGUUAAUUCACAAUAACAAAAAUAAAAGAACAGAAAAGGGGGAAAAAUUAAGGUUCUUAACUAUCUGUUCUACCAUCAGAUCAGAAGGGCGGUACUGACAAAACAUUCCUUGCACCACUAGCAGUUAGCAUAGCCAAACAUCAUGACUUCUUGAACAAAUGAUGUCGUGCUAACAUCUCUUCUACCCCCACUGCAGAAAUGCUUUCACAUCCAAGAAGCUCUCCGAGCUUUGCAUCACAUAAUAUCACCAUCGAAUUCAGUGGAUCCUCUAAUUGGUUAACCUUUAUGUACUCCCAAACACGCCUGGAAGCCUCUACUUGUGUCAUCUCGCUUCCUCCAGUGGUCCCCAAGAACUUGGCAAGAGCUUCAGAUAUCACCACUACAGAAGCACCAGAAUCAGUAUUUUCAGUUGUGGACUCAACAUCCACCUUCACUCGUUUAGCUUGACCACCCUCCUUUGUAGGUUCAAGAGGAAUGAUAU